GCGACAGGAGCAGCUCUUCCGGUCAGGCCCCUUUCAAGCCCCUGAACUGGGAUGCAAGUUCACAUGCAGUGGACAUUCUCACCGAAAACGAGCUCUCUUUAUACAGAGAGGCACUGUGCAGACCGAGCUCUUGGAGGCGUCUGGCCUGCCCAUGAAGGGCACAGGUGGUGUGGCUCAGGGGCUGACCAGGUUCCGAUUCCUGACCCAUAGGCCUCAGUUUCCCGUCUUAAAGAUCCAGCGGUCGCAGUGGGCUCCAAGCUUUUCCGACUCCAACACUGAGAAGGCUGGCUGGAGGAUCAGCAGACUUGCCUACUUGCCCCAGCUCUACCACAGAGGAACCUGAUCUCCUCGGGCCUCGUUCCCUCACCUGUAAGAUAAAGUGCUGUAUUCAUUCACCCAGUCGGUCCACAAAUAUUUUCUAAGCCUUUCUAUGAGCCAGAUGGUGGUACUGGAGAUACGAUGGUGCAUUGAAUGAGAUGUGUUCCACGUUCUCAUGGAAUUUCCAGUUUACGGAGGGCAGACAGAAGAGAAGAUGAACAGGAAUCAAACAGUCACAUCAGCGAAGGUGCAGUUAAUGCUAAGAUAAGCAGACGAGGCAAGGACCAUACUUGGUCUCCACUGAGUGAAGGAUAACCACGAUCUGCUGUAAUCCUGAUGUUCUGUGACCUAACAGAUGGUUCUGGUAGGUGGUGCAGAGCAACCCUUUGAGGAACUAAUAUCUAAGAUUAUUUUUUUCCCCCAAAAUGGCCCAGCUUAGUCCGACCAGCCACCCUUGGGAUGUGGGGGCCAAUGAGAAAUUGUUUUCCUAGAAACAGAAAUUGAAAUAGGCCCUGCAAGCUUGGGACAGUUUUCAGUAAAUAAAAUAGCCAUUUUCAGGGACAUGAGGGUGUGUGCGAUGGCCCCAGUCUCUGCUACCGGACCAUACGGGUGCACAGGCUGAGUAAGAGAAGGCCCAACUGGGAGACUGCCGUGUCCCACUGGGGGCAGAGGAGAAUCAAGGCCCGCUUUUUGUCAGAGAGCAAAAGGCCUAGUGUCGCACCUACUCUGAAUACUGUCCUUUACGGUAGGAGGCCUGCUACGGACGGGCUUCCUGACCCGGGGUGGCCACCUGGCCUCUGAGUCUGUCAUUUCACUUGUAAGGUUAAGGGGCCAAG